UACAGAGGGUGCAAGCGUUGUUCGGAAUUAUUGGGCGUAAAGCGCACGUAGGCGGUUCGUUAUGUCGGAUGUGAAAGCCCUUGGCUUAACCGAGGAAGUGCAUCCGAAACUGGCGAGCUAGAGUACUAAAGAGGAUCGCGGAAUUCCCGGUGUAGAGGUGAAAUUCGUAGAUAUCGGGAGGAACACCGGUGGCGAAGGCGGCGCCCUGGCCCGACACUGACGCUCAGACACGACAGCAUGGGGAGCGAACGGG
rnacentral:rRNA from 1 species